UAAGGAAUAUUGGUCAAUGGACGCAAGUCUGAACCAGCUAUGCCGCGUGAAGGAUUAAGGUCCUCUGGAUUGUAAACUUCUUUUAUCUGGGACGAAAAAAGGUCUUUCUAGAUCACUUGACGGUACCAGAUGAAUAAGCACCGGCUAACUCCGUGCCAGCAGCCGCGGUAAUACGGAGGGUGCAAGCGUUAUCCGGAUUCACUGGGUUUAAAGGGUGCGUAGGCGGUUCUUUAAGUCAGUGGUGAAAUACAGCCGCUUAACGGUUGAGGUGCCAUUGAUACUGAAGAACUUGAGUACAGUCGAGGUAGGCGGAAUUGACGGUGUAGCGGUGAAAUGCUUAGAUAUCGUCAAGAACACCGAUAGCGAAGGCAGCUUACUAGGCUGUAACUGACGCUGAGGCACGAAGGUGCGGGGAUCAAACAGG
rnacentral:rRNA from 1 species